GCAUCAAUGGGGUAGUGGUAACCUGGGUCGUUGCCAUUGUACUCCUCUUCUCGAGGUACCAAGCGGUUAAUUUCGACCCGCCGGGGGUUCAAUUCCCCCUUGAUGCA
rnacentral:tRNA from 1 species